UACGUAGGGGGCUAGCGUUGUCCGGAAUCAUUGGGCGUAAAGCGCGCGUAGGCGGCCCGGUAAGUCCGCUGUAAAAGUCAAAGGCUCAACCUUUGAAUGUCAGUGGAUACUGCCGGGCUAGAGUCCGGAAGAGGCGAGUGGAACUCCUGGUGUAGCGGUGGAAUGCGCAGAUAUCAGGAAGAACACCGACGGCGAAGGCAGCUCGCUGGGACGGUACUGACGCUGAGGCGCGAAAGCGUGGGAGCGAACAGG
rnacentral:rRNA from 1 species